rnacentral:rRNA from 1 species
AUUGAACGCUGGCGGCAGGCCUAACACAUGCAAGUCGAGCGGAUGAAGGGAGCUUGCUCCUGGAUUCAGCGGCGGACGGGUGAGUAAUGCCUAGGAAUCUGCCUGGUAGUGGGGGAUAACGUCCGGAAACGAGCGCUAAUACCGCAUACGUCCUGAGGGAGAAAGUGGGGGAUCUUCGGACCUCACGCUAUCAGAUGAGCCUAGGUCGGAUUAGCUAGUUGGUGGGGUAAAGGCCUACCAAGGCGACGAUCCGUAACUGGUCUGAGAGGAUGAUCAGUCACACUGGAACUGAGACACGGUCCAGACUCCUACGGGAGGCAGCAGUGGGGAAUAUUGGACAAUGGGCGAAAGCCUGAUCCAGCCAUGCCGCGUGUGUGAAGAAGGUCUUCGGAUUGUAAAGCACUUUAAGUUGGGAGGAAGGGCAGUAAGUUAAUACCUUGCUGUUUUGACGUUACCAACAGAAUAAGCACCGGCUAACUUCGUA